GUUUAUUUCGUAGUGUAAGUCAUCAGCUUUACCGAACAGAAAGUCGUCAUGCCCAAAUAAGAGCUCUUGCAAUCCAACAUUUAAUAAACUGCCCAGAACAUUUCAUAGAGUCUAAUACUGAACAAUCAUGGUCGCAUUAUUUACAGAAUAUGUCAAGGCUAGGCUCAUGGGCAGACCAUAUUAUCAUACAGGCAGUUGCGAAUGCAAAAAAUUUAAGAAUUCACAUCACAGAAAGUGCGCAAAAUUUUACUGAAAGUACAGUUGUAACCUCUAUUUAUGCUCAGGGAAAUGUAAGAGAUAUUUAUAUCGGACAUCUUGACGAACUGCAUUAUGUUUCUACAAUGCCAAUUGAGCAAUCUGCCUCUCAACAAAUAGGAAAUCAGACAGCAACUGAUAAAGAGGGUCCUGAAGGGGUAAAAUGGGAACUGGGAUUGAUCUAUUUUUAGACUGGAAAAAUGGGAUUUGGGUUGCUGGGACUGGGAUUUGGCCACUGGGAAUGGGAAAUGAAGUCCUCAAAAAUGAGAACGGGAUUAAGGUAAUGCCAGUCGAUUCCCAAUUUUUCUGCGUUUUGAGUAUUUUAAAAUACAAUUUCGAUCCGUUUUUGGUGUCUGUGGUCAUGAUUUUUGUUGUUAACUAUAUUAUUCACAGCACUACCUGCAAACAGGCAUAUUCUGGCGCCCGGAAUUCUGGGUUUUCUGAUUAUGCGUCUCAGAAUGCUGCAAAUGCCAUUUCCGGGAUUCAUGCAGUGUCCGCCACUUGCUUAAAAGGUCUUAAAACUGUUUAUUCUACCGAUAAAUAAAGGGGUUUUUAUUGACUGGGAUUUCAAUAACUGGGACUGAGAUUUCUAAUAAAAUUCCAACUGGGACUGGGAUUUUGCCAAAAUUUCAGGUGGGAAAUGGGAUUGCGAUCCCCCCUUCAGGACCCUCGAUAAACAAAAACCAAACCCACAAAAUUCGCAAUCUAAUACUAAUAGUAAUAAAUAUAUCUCAGAAAAGUCCGUCUCAAUGAAAAAAAAUCAAAAAAGAAAAGAAUACAUGAAGGAAUACAUGAAAAAAAGAAGGUCGAACAACGAAUUUAAAAAAAAAGAAAGCGAGAAAAAAAAGUCAUAUAAUAAGAAUUACAAAAACUCGAAUUCUGAAAAAUUUAAGGAAUCUUGGCAAAAAGCCAGUGCAACAUACAAAGAAUCAAAUCCUGAAAUAGUAAAAGAAAUUUUUAAGACAGCCACUGCAACAUACAGACAAUCAAAUCCUGAAAAAGUAAAAGAGAGUUUUAAGAGACAAUGUCCACUAAAACCGAGCAAAAUCGAGAAUACGUGGCACAUGAGGAA